UAUGAAUGUGGAUAUGCAAAUCAAACAUGUUUGUUUCUUUGUUUCCCCAGGGAAAACUUGAAGAGUCUUUCACUUUUCAUCCUCCAGUCACUGAUUGGGCUAUAAGGACACUGUGUGAGGUGGUGGGAGCAAAAAGCAGCUGUUUUCCUGACCCCUUACCGUCUAGCAUAGAAUUUGAUGGACAGAAUAUUGGUACCAGCUGUGGAAGAGCUGUUCAGCCUCAACUCCAGAACUCUAUCCUGAGACACAACUACAGGAUGUGCCUUGGAGAAGUUUCAUAAAAUAGUUGGAUUCAGUUCUUUCAUUAAGGAGG
rnacentral:lncRNA from 1 species